UACAGAUUUAUUGAAAAAUAAAUAUAUUUAUGCAAGUACGGGACGGUACGGGUUUUAAUAUUAUUCAAUUGCGGAGCACGAAAAGCUUACGCGCAAAUUAUCAAGAACUUCAAAAUUGUCAAUAGAAGAGGUUCUAGCACGUACAGUUCCGAUGUUUUACUACAAUUUGAUGUCCAACACAAUGUAAUGUUAUGCUGCAGACAUCGCCGCAGUGUACAACACUGGACAAUCGUAUUUGUAUGGUUUUAAUUUUCUUUAUUCGUACUCGGUCAUUUUCGACCCAGUAAUAUAGUUUACUUGGUGCUAGAGAUGUCUUUGCUGUUCAUGGGAGAUUCUAAUAGAGCUCAAUUUGUGGUGUAUAUUGAUAAACUGCAAAGAUAUGAUUUACUUAAUGUUGAUUCGGCAACUGACGUGAAGUUCUGUGGAUUUAGUGGCGGUUGUUUAACAAACUCGAACCAUGUCCUGUUCUUUCAAGAUUGAUUAGUGAAGCAUGUUUAUUUGUCAAUUUAUUCUAAGGCAACACACCCGCCACAUCCCAGCGUACAUAUACAAUGAUUUUAUUAUUACUGUCAUUAUAGUCUGAGAAAAGCAAACAUGGUGUUUAAGCAAGAACUUGGAAUACUUAACGUACUGGAAUUUGAAAGGAAUGAAACAUUCUAUUUUUAAAUGCUAAUAUUUUACAGAUAGAUGGUGUUCAUUUCAACAACCUGGGAUUUGAAAAUUUUCCACAAUGUGAGAGAAAUGAUUUUGAAGUGCAUUGCAGAUAUGUAAUUCGCACAUGUACUGGAAGAUACUGUAUUCUAAUUGGUGGCACAUUUGUAUCUAUAUUAUCAUAUAACAACAGCGAAGGCUGCUGCAGCUGGGGAAGCUGCUAAAACCGAACGAAGAACAAACCAAAUUGAGCAGGUUUCAGAAGCUAACACAUCCAAUUUAUCAGAAAAGACUUGAACACAAUUAUAUCAAAUGUUGUUCCUGCUGUCACGCAAGGUAUUUUGUAGGUUUUAAAAGACUUGAAGGUACUACCGCCUGACUAUUCAAAACCCAAAAACUUGGGAAAAGAACAGAUACCUUUGGAAUCCACACAAAGCACUUCAACAUUGCUCCAACACCGACUUUGCCAGCUUCAGUUUUGAAUCAAAAUUCUGCCACAUUUUUGCAUCCACUUUUUCUUGGUAUUGAUGAAAAAAUCAAAGCUAAGAUUGUAUCAGAUCAGUUUGUGGUGUUAGAUUCCAUAUAAAAUAAAGGCGAUUAUCAAUACCAUUUAGUCGAAAAUGGCAGUGGGGAACUCUCGUUCAAAAAAGUUUUAAAUUGUCGACCAGUAUAAAAACGCUGGAUCAAAGGUUUAAUACAUUUCAUAUUUUUACAAGUGUUUACACAGACAGACACCCAACAUCUGCUGCUACUUUAAUGAAACAUUGCGACACAGUUCGUAAACUUGCAAAGCAAUCGGGGGAUUCCGCUGCCAUUUUUACGAUAGACAAUUUAGUGUCUUAAAAGAAGCAAGAUUGGCUUUGAUUUCAUAUGGGGAAAUCGAUACCCAGUUAUACACGCAGGCACUGGUCAUGGGGUUAAUUAAACCAAAACAAAAACAGUCCUUUCUUGGCGCAAGAUCCCACCAAAACAGACCGUGCUUUGAUUUUAACAACGGGUCUAGUGCCAGAAAAUCGUGCAUCUUUCAGUACAGAUGUCAAAAGUGCCCCAGUCCUCAUGGACGAAUUGUGUGUUUUUAAAAAGGUGCAAUCAAAUUUCAAGUCAAAGAACUGAUAACGAAACCGUAUGCAAGGUGCCUGCAGUCUUAAAUAAGGCUACUUUUCAUAUUGUUAAACCAAUUAAUUCUGAUAACCUACGAUACUGGCUCCAAGGUACUACUUGAAAUUAACUGAAUAUUUGAUGAAUGGCUUCACAAAGGGCUUUAAAAUACCUUUUACAGGUAUUCAUUCUUAUAAAUUUCCUGGGAAUUUCAAAUCUGCGACUGAAAAUUUAGAGGGCAUAAAAUCACUGUUGAAAUUGAUGCGGGUCGUGUUGCGGGUCCUUUGAAUGAACCACCUUUUAGCAACUUUAUGACCUCAACUCUGGGUUUAGUACCAAAUCAGGAACCCAGUGAAUUUCGUGGAAUACAUUAUUUCUCAUUUUCAGAAGGUCAACUGUUAAGGCUGGAAUCCCAUCAGAAUUGUGUUUUGUUCAAUAUUAAUGCAGUAGAACUUGUGAAAACUAUUGGACCUGGUACGCUUCUGUCAAAAUUUAUGUCCAGAAUGCAUUUAAAAUCAUUCCAAUUCAGUUGUAGGCUUGGUAAACAUCUCAGGACCUAAGUAUUAUAUGCCUGGUCAAAAGAUUAGUUCUACAAUGUUUGAAAUAUAUCUUUUUAUUUUAAGACACGCAUUUUAAAAGCAAUGCAAGGUUAUCAUAAUUUAGUUCCUAAAACAGACACACGUUUGCCAGUUGCAUAACUUAAUACGGUCAAUGGACGUAGUUUGCAAUUCGCAAUUUCUACGUGUACUGCUAACAGCCAUUUAUUUAUUGACCUUUUAUGUUUUCCUUCGAGUUGGAGAAUUUACUUCUUCCUCUCCUGACUCGUAUAUUAUAGUAGUAGAAUAUGUAUAUAUAACAUUCAAUCGAACUAAAUAGCUUUGACUUGGUUCUGAAAAGCUAUAAAUAUAGUCGAGGCAAGACCCAUAAACUGCAUAUUUCAUGUUGUCACUAUGAAUUAGGUAUGUGCCCUUUGCAUGCAUUGUACUCGUAUUAUACAUUAAGUAACGCUCCACCAGGCCCACUAUUUUCGUUUUUGAUAAUCAUCCAGUGACAAGAUAUUUCUUUUGUACCAAGCUUCAAAUGUCACUCACUCGGUUAGGUUAUAGUAAUGACUUUUACAAAGGUCAUAGUUUCCGCAUUGGUGCGGCAUUGCAAAGAGGUUUAUGGGGAGUUUCAGAAAAUCGACCUUUUGGCAGGUGGUUUUCAAACGCUUAUAAAAAAGUAUAUUCGCAUUCCUAUGGGAGAAAAAUUAGAUGUGGUCAAAGCUCCAAUAAUAUAGGUACAUCAUGGUCACAAAUGUGAUGGGGUCAAGGGUCUCUCACCUUGUGAUUAUCAUGUUAACAAGUAUUCUUCAGUUAUCCUCUUAAGACAAAUAUCAGUAUUGGAUUUUAGAAGUCAUACACCUUUGUUAAAUUUGGGGUGGAUUAUUUUUAUCAAGUUAAUAUCUAGUUUUCUAAUAUUUGUAAUUCUUAUUGCUAAUGGUACGUUGGGGUCAUGGGUCUCUCGCACUAAUGUUAUCAUGUUACAUGUACACAAAGUUUAUUAGUAGGCAGUUUUGCAUGUUUUCAUGAGUUACUGAUAUUUUGCUUGUGUGAUGGUGCCAAGGGACGCUUACCUCUAUUUUGUCAUGUUAAAUAUACUUGUACCAUUUUCUACAAUUUCUGCAUGUUUGAGGAUGUAACACUUCAGCAAGUAUUCUUCAGUUAUCCUCUUAAUACAAAUAUCAGUACUGGAUUUUAGAAAUCAUACACCUUUGUUUGGGGUGGAUUAUUUUUAUCAAGUUAAUAUCUAGUUUUCUUAUGUUUUUAAUUCUUAUUGCUAAUGGUGCGAUGGGGUCAUGGGUCUCUCGCACUAAUGUUAUCAUUUUACAUGUACAUAAAGUUUAUUAGUAGGCAAUUUUUUUUUUUUUUUUUUUUUUUUUUUUUUAUGAGUUUCUAAUAUUUUGCUUGUGUGAUGGUGCCAAGGGAUGCUUACCUCUAUUUUGUAAUGUUAAAUAUACCAUUUUCUACAAUUUCUGCAAGUUAGAGGGUGUAACACAACACAUGUGUAAGCUGUUGAUAAAUAAAUGAUACACUCACUUUCUUCGGAUGGGGUUAUUGCUUAUAACGUAAUAAAUGAAAUCCAUUUAUUAUGUUUUUGCAAUAUGUGGCAUAAAGGUUAGAUCCCCACCUUUGAUGAUGCAUAUCAACUGUUAAUAUUUGUCUUUUCUUGAUAAAAUUACUCACCUAUCACAUAUUAUGUACGAUGCUGUAACAGAACCAUUUAUUGUUAAUUGUGUUUUCAAAUUCGUCAUUUAGAUAUUAAAUGACAGAUUUCAAUCAAAGAUACAUGUUGGGUUUUGAUUUGAUUUACUACAUCAUCAAGAGCUCAUAAAGUGAGUGUAAGCUAUAUACCUUGGUUAUAUGGAACUAAUGCUACGGAGCUUGCAUAAAUACAGAUUUAUUGAAAAAUAAAUAUAUUUAUGCAAGUACGGGACGGUACGGGUUUUAAUAUUAUUCAAUUGCGGAGCACGAAAAGCUUACGCGCAAAUUAUCAAGAACUUCAAACCCUCCCUCCCAUCCCUGGUAUGUUCAGUAUACCUAUAGUUGUAGAUAGUUCAACAUGUGCCAGUCAUUUUUUUUGUCUUGAUAGAUAUGUCAUUACAGUUUUAUUGUAAAAAUGAUGUUCAACAUAUGGUAGUCAUUUUUAUAAUAGAUAUUUCUCAUACUUCUUAAUUGUUAGCAUGACAUUCAACAUACAUUUAUAAAUGCUGUAUUGAUACUUCACAUGUAAAUAUAAUAUAAAUAUAUUGAUAUCAUUACUUUUAACUAUAAGGCUGACAUUCAGCGUGCUAUUAUUAUUAUGCUAGUUAUUGUGCCAUUACUUUUUGACUAUAAGACUGACAUUCAACAUAAUAUUAUACUGAUCAUUUUUAAUUAAUGGAUAUGUAUUUCAGUUUUUUCCUAGAUGUAAGACUAUCAUUCGUUGCUUAUUGGCAUAAAGGUUAGAUCCCCACCUUUGAUGAUGCAUAUCAACUGUUAAUAUUUGUCUUUUCUUGAUAAAAUUACUCACCUAUCACAUAUUAUGUAUGAUGCUGUAACAGAACCAUUUAUUGUUAAUUGUGUUUUCAAAUUCGUCAUUUAGAUAUUAAAUGACAGAUUUCAAUCAAA